rnacentral:lncRNA from 1 species
UUCUAAUAACUGGUCAGGACAUCAUUUAAUCUCUUGGCUCUCUUGUUUAGGAAGAAUGGGUCACUUGCAAGGGCCAAUCAAGUACAAAAUAAAAAUACCCAUAUCUCAAACUAAGAAUGCACAGCUUUAAAUAGCAUUCAAAAUGUUUCUAGAUCUUUUUUUUUGUUGUUUUUCAGAUGGGAGGAAUUUACAGUAUUUGGCCUGUCGGAGAACAAAGAACACACCAGCUUCAGAUGAAAGUCUGAUGUUACAAAUAAUAACAGAAGGAAAUGGGAACUCAUUGUCAACAAGAGAGGUAGAAUACAAACAGAUCUUUAUUCAGACAAAUUCCUUUUUAAAGAAAAGAAAGUGCUGGGUAAGUCUUGUGAGUUUCUGUAUUAGAAUUCCACCUUUAAGAAUUUUUUAAAAAAAUUAUUUAUUAUUUGAGAGAGAGAAUGAGAGAAAAAGCACGAGUGAGCAGAGAGGGAGAAGGAGAAGCAGUCUCCCUGCUGAGCAGGGAGCCUGAUGUGGAGCUCAAUCCCAGGACCCCAGGAUCAUGACCUGAGCCAAAGGCAGAUGCUUAACCCACUAAACCACCCCGGCACUCUUAGUUCCACCUUUAGAAUCCUUGAUUCUCAAUUUAGAUCAUAAUUCAAAUAAACUUAAUAAUAUGAAUACAUAGUAGGAUAUGGAAUGGGAUUUUUUGCUGUCUUAGAAUUUCAGCUAAGUCUCAAUUUUAGAAUAAUAGAUACCAAUAUGUCCAUGUUCUAGAAGAGCUAGCUGCCAGAUACAUGCAUCUGAGACUUAUUAACAAGAACUGAUCCAGUGACAGUGAUCUACCUCUACAAAUCCAAGAAGAGGAUUCCUUGAAAGGAAUAUUUAGGAGAAAAGAGCACUUUGACUUUUGUCUUUCCCUUGAAAGAACAGGCAAUGGAAGAGGCUGUUAACCUCAUCCCAAUUCCCAUUCAGGCCAAAAUGAAGGAAGCUCUAGGAGAAUCAAAUGUAGAAAAUGUAGGUGCAUGUAAAAAGUAGAAUCUGACCACUACCCUCUGCCAGAUGGGAAGGAAUGAGUUUUAGCCUCUCAUAGUCCUGUCUUUGUGAAGCCAUUGGGUGAGAAAGUUCUUGCAGGAGAACCUGACAUGUGUCUGUAGGAAUCUGGGAACAUGAUAUCAUUGGUACCUGCCUUAAUCUAGAGAAGUGGUAGCUGGAUGAAACAGAUACAUGUGAAGAGAGAGAGAGAGAGACUCAUAGGACACUGAGGAUCCACAUCUGGGGUGGCAAAGAAACUGUGGGUGUUUGAGUCACCCAGACGUCCUGCCUGCAGAUCCCUUGUUAUAAGUGGCCAGAGAGGUACCCAAGCUGAAAAACUAUAUGAAGAGGCCAGUCAGUCAGUGCACCAUCCCUGGGCCCACCCAGGCACCCUGUUAUCCUGGCAUCAAUAUAUUACAACUUUGGCCUAUUCUCUUAUUCUCCAAUCCUCUGCCCUCAUAAAAGCAGAUGGAAAAUAGAUGGAAAAUUAAUGUACAAAUAGACCCAGGCUUGAAUGAAAUAGGACCAGAGUGGACAUUUUAAUACCUGACUGUGGGCACAUCUGUAAGGUGUGGAGAAGGGGGCACUCAUGGAGCUCUGAAGGCAGUGAUGAAAGAAGAAUCAUUGUGGUGCCUCCAAUCACAAAUAUUGUUGCUGUUUAUUUAUGGCCACUGAGUAUUGUGGAAAAACAAAAAACCCAAAAUCAAGUUUAGGUUUGAAGACUGAGUUUACCCUGUGACCUCAGAACUUCAAUACUGAUGAAACUAUGAUGUCUUCACUUUUGGAACUCAGAGACAACAGAGCCACCUGUUGCAUCUGUAUGCUCUGGUUGUCUGUUCAUAGGGCUCUAAUCACCAACACCCAGAGGAACAGUGACCUAUCCCAGGACACGAGUAGCUGCCAGGCUUUAUUUCCAUCUGUUCUUAGAUAAACAUCUGUCCCACAUUUCUGGUAGGCUGGUUGACGUGGCUUCUGUGUUUCCAUUUAGCCUCCUGUCCCAGUGACUAAACCUUUGGCCUGUUUCAUGCAUUAGCCCUUAGAUUGUGUCUCAGAGUUGUAUUCCCUUUUGUUUCUGCCCCAUGAACCAGUGUUGGGUGAUUCAUUUGCAGUUUCACAUGUGGUGCCUCUUUACCACA